rnacentral:rRNA from 1 species
CCUACGGGUGGCAGCAGUGAGGAAUAUUGGUCAAUGGGCGGAAGCCUGAACCAGCCAAGUAGCGUGCAGGAUGACGGCCCUACGGGUUGUAAACUGCUUUUAUAAAGGAAUAACGUGCCUUACGUGUAGGGCUUUGCAUGUACCGUAUGAAUAAGGACCGGCUAAUUCCGUGCCAGCAGCCGCGGUAAUACGGAGGAUCCGGGCGUUAUCCGGAUUUAUUGGGUUUAAAGGGAGCGUAGGUGGCUUGUUAAGUGAGUUGUGAAAGUUUGCGGCUCAACCCUGGCAUUGCAGUUGAUACUGGCGGUCUUGAGGACACGGUAGGCAGGCGGAAUUCGUGGUGUAGCGGUGAAAUGCUUAGAUAUGACGAAGAACCCCGAUUGCGAAGGCAGCUUACUAAAGUGGCACUGACGCUGAUGCUCGAAAGUGCGGGUAUCGAACAGGAUUAGAUACCCGAGUAGUC